UACGGAGGGUGCGAGCGUUAUCCGGAAUUAUUGGGCGUAAAGAGCUCGUAGGCGGUUUGUCGCGUCUGCCGUGAAAGUCCGGGGCUCAACCCCGGAUCUGCGGUGGGUACGGGCAGACUUGAGUGCAGUAGGGGAGACUGGAAUUCCUGGUGUAGCGGUGAAAUGCGCAGAUAUCAGGAGGAACACCGAUGGCGAAGGCAGGUCUCUGGGCUGUAACUGACGCUGAGGAGCGAAAGCAUGGGGAGCGAACAGG
rnacentral:rRNA from 1 species